AGGGAUGUCCAUGGCUCAGUGGCAGAGCAUCAGACUUGCAUGCAGAAGGUCUUGGGUUGAGUCCCCAGCAUCUCCA